GGACAGAGUAGUGUCUUCUAGCUAUAUUGCUUCGUAUUUAAUACUUUCAAGCAAUUAUUUUAGGGAAUAUGCACACUAGGAUAUUCUUGUUGUCAUUCUGUUCACCAUAAGUUGAAGAAAGAUUCUGAUAUAAUCGGUUUUUGCAAUUUUUUUAAUUUUUUUAUUUGUAUUGUACAGUUAGCCUGUUUACUUUGUUUAUUGUGAGCUAACCCUUCGCUAAGAGACUAUGGCUGAGGAUGAAAACCUGGACAUGCUGCCCUCCUUAUUUGAGAAGAAAGAGGGUCCGGAUCCAGAGAACUCCUCAGAAGAAAGUGAGCACAAUCAUACCAAAGAGGACCAGAAAGGGUCACGGGGAAACCUGGAGCCUAUCCCAGGGAACAUCGGGCACAAGGCAGGG
ensembl:lncRNA